rnacentral:rRNA from 1 species
UACAGAGGUCUCAAGCGUUGUUCGGAUUCAUUGGGCGUAAAGGGCGCGUAGGCGGCGGGGUAAGUCUGGUGUGAAAUCUCGGAGCUCAACUCCGAAAUUGCACUGGAUACUGCUCUGCUUGAGGGUUGGAGAGGAGAUCGGAAUUCCUGGUGUAGCGGUGAAAUGCGCAGAUAUCAGGAGGAACACCGGUGGCGAAGGCGGAUCUCUGGGCCUUACCUGACGCUCAGGCGCGAAAGCUAGGGGAGCGAACAGG